UGUAGUACUCCCGCUGCUUGUCUCUCCAGUCAAGCUAAGUAAAAGUCUGAAGUUGAAGAUAUCCCAGGGUGACACAAUGCAGCUCCUUGCAUGUGGUCGUGUGUAACAUGAAACAGCCUGUCAGUCAGCCGAGGAGUGAGAAAUACAGGAACUAGGGGUGAAGGAGUGUGUGCAACAAAGCCGUGCCUGUUACAUAGCAGGUCGACAAAUAAGAGCUGCGAAAAGCUUUUUAAGUUUAAUCUACGUGAGGCAGCGAGAGUAGUGUCUCAAAUCGGGUGUGUCUCAAAUCGACCUAUGGACAUAUGACAUGUUCCAUCCUGCUGCCUGCUAUCAUUAAUAGCGCCCGAGUGAGUGAGUCAGUGACUGAGUGAGUCAGUGAGGUGGCAAAGCAAGCAAACACGACCGCCAUGCCACCGUUGCUUGAUGAGGCAUGUGCUUCAGAUCAUGAGCGUUUCCUAUUUUUCUUCACACUUUCCAUCUUUUUUUUUUUUUUUUAUCAGUCAGGUACAGGUUAAUCUUCAUCUCAUCUGCCUGUAACAUUUAAUCCCAGAAUUCAGGAAGCGCUUUAGGUGAACUUUGUAAGAAAACCUGCUGAUUCAUUUCUGGAGGAUUUUGCUUCUAGUACUGAGCUCACAGCUAGGGUUUGGCAAUUUAGGUCUUAAUGGCAAUCUAUGACACAUCCACGUUUUAAUUCAGGAGUGUGUCUUGGUAUGGAACGGUUUUAUUUCAUGACUCCUGAGUUCUUUGGUUACUCUUUGGUUCACUACUGUCACUUUGUUUUUCCAGACCUAGCAAGAGGCUUUUGAGGGUUUCUAAACAAAGCUCUAUGAUCACCCGUUUUAUUGGAAUUGAAAUAAAGCUUGCAUAAAGUUACUUAAAAAAAAAUGGGAUGCAAAAAUAUUAUCAUAUUCUGCUUGAUGAUAGUUCCUUAUGUCACUUUGGAUUGGUGUUGGGGAUCAGGGGGCGUGUCUAGACAUACGUAACAUGUUUAUUAUACGCCACAUUAUUACCAUUUAGCCAUUUCUUUACUAUUUACCUGUUAAGAGGUUUUAGAAAGUAGUUAUUAGCUGUAACAAAGCUCACUGUUAAACUGAAAUAAAUGUAUAGAAACUGUUGUGUAUGUGCUCUGUGCUGAACAGCAGUGGAAUUCCUCACUAUAACUUUGUAUAGUGAAGUCAUCCAGAUAAAAAAAACACUUAUUUAGGUUUUGCGAAUGAAUAAAUAAAUGGACUUAAUUGUUUGGCAUGUAUGCACAGAAGAUGAUGUUUUCUUGGUUGCUCUCCUAUCAAGU